GAUGAACGCUGGCGGCGUGCCUAAUACAUGCGAGUCGAGCGAACAGACGAGGAGCUUGCUCCUCGGACGGUAGCGGCGGACGGGUGAGGAACACGUGGAGAACCUACCUAGAGGACUGGGAUAACUUCGGGAAACCGGAGCUGAUACCGGAGGAUAUAUUGAACCGCAUGGUACAAUGGUGAAAGACGGUUUGGCUGUCACUUAGAGAUGGAUCCGCGCCGCAUUAUCUAGUUGGUAAGGUCACGGCGUAAAAAGGCAACGAGGCGUAGACGACCUGAGAGGGUCAUCGGCCAGCCUGGAACUGAGACACGGUCCAGACUCCUAAGGGAGGAAGCAGUCGGGAAUCCUACGCAAUGGGCGAAAGCUUGACGGAGCAACGCCGCGUGAGUGAUGAAGGUCUUCGGAUCGUAAAACUCUGUUAUCAGGGAAGAACAAAUGUGUAAGUAACUAUGCACGUCUUGACGGUACCUAAUCAGAAAGCCCCGGCUAACUACGUG
rnacentral:rRNA from 1 species